AUAUAAGGUAAAGGUAACGUUUAGUGGGUAAAAUAAGUUUUACCCAGUUUUCUAACUAAAUAUAUUUGUAAAGGUGUUUUUGACAUGACAUUUUCAAUAGAUGUUGGGAACAACCUAUUCAAUUUACUCAAAAAAUCAAACCAUAAAUGUCUAUGAAUUAAGCUACGUGUAAAAUAACAUGUGAAGCAGGGAAAAGGUGUUGAGCACAUGAAGGAAGUGAGGUGCCAAAUGCAUGGAAACCUGACAGCUGCUACCUGUCAGUAAUUAGAAGGCAGUACUGUCACAAUAUCAAUCAAUAUCAAUAUUAAUACUAGCUGAUUCAUUCAUAAACAGGUGUCUCAUUACCAAGGUGUCACACAGGAAACCUCUCGAUGGGUAACCCCAGUGAGCUUUCUCAACACCUUUGCAACCUUAUUGUUGGGAAACAUACUGAUGUCAAGAAGAAUUUCCAAACUACUGAAGGCUUGAGUGAGCACAUAAACCGUCCACGACCAGGUCCAAGAUUUCAGACAGAGGGGUGAAAUGAAGAGUUGUCCAAGAGUCAGUGACUACUUGUGGAGAGCUACAGAAAGACCUGGAAUCAGCAGAUAGACAGCAUGUUAGUAAGCAAGCUGCCUGCUCAUGUUUGCUGCUCUGAUGCUUGACAGGAGGUUACUGAGGCAGGUUAUUGGCCAGCAGAUGGAUGGGUCCAGUCCCUUCUCAGGAUCCUUGGGGAUCAGGACUGUCCUGCCUUCAGUGUGUGUGCCUCAUCUAUUAGCAGCUGAUUUGUUGGUGCUGCCAUGCACUAAGCUAGUCGCAUAAAAUCUGAAAGAUAACACCAGAGUGUACUAAUACUAUAUAAUCUAUAAUCCCCAGUUUAGUUAAAUGUUAAAGUUGCACAUGCAUACAUCUGCUCAAACGUAACAGUGGUGUGAAAAACUUUUAACAGGACCUUAGGUUGAUUUUUGCAUUCCUGGUUUUAUUAGAAUGAGGGAGAUGUGCACAUUUAUGCAUGUGAUAAAAACAGCCAUGAUUUCAAUACUUUCUAAUAACCAUGAAUUUCUACCAGGACUGCUGACAUUCACUGUUAGAGCCCAUCAGAUCAGCUUGACUUUCUGAAGUGACUAAAAAGUAGUCAGUUUUACAAAAUAAUCAUUACUUAGGAGCCAUCCAUAGAUUAGAUAUUAGAUAUUAACCACUGUCAGAGCUCUUUUAUUCAUUUUUAUUUUCAGUGUGUUAGGGCUGAGUUGUGGUGAGAAAUAUUUUUUCUGUUUAGAUUUAAAGUUACUGUUUGUAGUAGUUACAUCACUAUUGUGUGCACUUACGUUUUUAUUAUUGGAAUUAAAGUAUAA